ACUCAAAUGAAUUGACGGGAGCCCGCACAAGCAGUGGAGUAUGUGGUUUAAUUCGAAGCAACGCGAAGAACCUUACCAGAGCUUGACAUCCUAUGAACCUGGGGUAAUGCCCGGGGUGCCCUUCGGGGAGCAUAGAGACAGGUGGUGCAUGGUUGUCGUCAGCUCGUGUCGUGAGAUGUUGGGUUAAGUCCCGCAACGAGCGCAACCCUUAUUGUCAGUUGCUACUGAAGAAGAGCACUCUGGCAAGACUGCCGUUGACAAAACGGAGGAAGGCGGGGACGACGUCAAAUCAUCAUGCCCCUUAAGUCCUGGGCAACACACGUACUACAAUGGCGCAAACAGAGGGGAGCGAAACCGCGAGGCGGAGCAAAUCCCAAAAAGGCGCCCCAGUUCAGAUUGCAGGCUGCAACUCGCCUGCAUGAAGUUGGAAUUGCUAGUAAUCGCGGAUCAGCAUGCCGCGGUGAAUACGUUCCCGGGCUUUGUACACACCGCCCGU
rnacentral:rRNA from 1 species